GAUGAACGCUGGCGGCGUGCCUAAUACAUGCAAGUCGAGCGAACAGACGAGGAGCUUGCUCCUCUGACGUUAGCGGCGGACGGGUGAGUAACACGUGGAUAACCUACCUAUAAGACUGGGAUAACUUCGGGAAACCGGAGCUAAUACCGGAUAAUAUAUUGAACCGCAUGGUUCAAUAGUGAAAGACGGUUUUGCUGUCACUUAUAGAUGGAUCCGCGCCGCAUUAGCUAGUUGGUAAGGUAACGGCUUACCAAGGCAAUGAUGCGUAGCCGACCUGAGAGGGUGAUCGGCCACACUGGAACUGAGAUACGGUCCAGACUCCUACGGGAGGCAGCAGUAGGGAAUCUUCCGCAAUGGGCGAAAGCUUGACGGAGCAACGCCGCGUGAGUGAUGAAGGUCUUCGGAUCGUAAAACUCUGUUAUUAGGGAAGAACAAAUGUGUAAGUAACUAUGCACGUCUUGACGGUACCUAAUCAGAAAGCCACGGCUAACUACGUG
rnacentral:rRNA from 1 species